rnacentral:rRNA from 1 species
GUGGGGAAUAUUGGGCAAUGGGCGAAAGCCUGACCCAGCAACGCCGCGUGAAGGAAGAAGGCCUUCGGGUUGUAAACUUCUUUUAUGAGGGACGAAGGAAGUGACUGUACCUCAUGAAUAAGCCACGGCUAACUACGUGCCAGCAGCCGCGGUAAUACGUAGGUGGCAAGCGUUGUCCGGAUUUACUGGGUGUAAAGGGCGCGUAGGCGGACUGGCAAGUCAGAUGUGAAAUCCAUGAGCUCAACUCAUGAACUGCAUUUGAAACUGUUGGUCUUGAGUAUCGGAGAGGCAAGCGGAAUUCCUAGUGUAGCGGUGAAAUGCGUAGAUAUUAGGAGGAACACCAGUGGCGAAGGCGGCUUGCUGGACGACAACUGACGCUGAGGCGCGAAAGCGUGGGGAGCAAACAGGAUUAGAAACCCCGGUAGUCC